CUUUAGCUCAGUUGGUCAGAGCGUGUGAUUUGUAAUCUCAAGGUCGUUGGUUCGACUCCGACAA
rnacentral:tRNA from 1 species